rnacentral:lncRNA from 10 species
AAGAUGAAAAUGCAGAAUUUAGGUCAGCACACACAGAGAAUCUCACUUUGUUUACAUGAGACAGAGAGUGUGUGUUCCUACGAAAUGGCUGACGCCACUUCACACUGCGGCCCUCUGACGUCCUCGCUCCUCCCCGGUGCCCCACACAUGGUUUGAAUUUAUUGGUUUUAGCAGCUUUCAUUUAUAUUGUGUGAGGAUCACGGAAUGACCAGCAAACAGAAGCUCUGAUCCGUGCUACAUUUAAAAUGCCACUUUCCAGUGAGGUCAGAG